AGAUUGAUUGAUGGAGAAGCGUUUGCGCGCCUCUUGGAAGGAAAGGUUCAUUUUUACUUUGAUUUCGAUUAUUUGUUUUUCUUUUUUCCAGGAUGGACAAGAAUGAGAGUAUGCGAGGUGAUACAUCCCCUUCACAGUUAGCGCAACGGAUGGUGGAUUUGCAAGUGUCGGACGAGUGCUCAUUUAAUGCACAUUUUGCACAAGUAGUGCGCCCUCGGCAGCUUUGCGAACCGUGCCCGAACCGCUGACACUUGAAGCAUCGGCGUGGGUUAGGAAUGUAUGGCCUUACACGGAGUUUGCAGUAUCCUGUUUCUAUUGAGUCUGGUAAGUUGCUAGUUCCAAAAGUGAUGAUUAUGUGCCUAGAUGGUAUUUCUUUGUCAACUCGCCUUAUUUUUAUCCUUUGUACCUUGACGACGUUCUGCUCUUGCCAUCCUUCUAAUAAUUCGCUUUCGGUAAGUUAGAGAAGGUCAUCUUGCGAGAUCACACCGCGCACUGUGUUCAUCGACCUGUGUGGGCCUACAGAAACGGGAAUGUCCCCAAAUGCUACAAGUUUUGACAGUUUGUCAUACUGUGGCUUGUUGCGAACUUCGAGUAGAAGAUCGCCACUUCCCAUCUUCGUUACUUUAUAACCUGGGCCUAUUGCUUCUGUGAUAGAUUUGGCAACUAGAAAUGGUGAUAUCAUUCGGACUGUCUUCAUUUCGUGCUUACUGUGGACAAUGUGGUAUUUAGGAAAGGAGACUUUCGGUUGCAUAAAAAAGUUGAAUUGUUCAUUGGUGCGCCCCCUCUUCAGGGAGUGAUCAGGCAGUGGGGGAAAAGCGUUUGCCAUACAAAGUUUCGUAAUUCGGCAGCGAUGGUGGCCACCCACCACCGAGCCCAACAAGGGGACGCUACAAGGUCGGGAAAGUACCUGCAGACGCCAGCCAUGCAUCGCCACUAUAACCUACUAUAAGUACCCAAGGUUGGAUAAUUACACCAGGAUAACCCUUGCCGCCAGGAAAUACGGAAGUAAAAGAAGUGAAGAGAAGACAGGAAAGAUGGAAAAGUGGGAGAGAAAGACAAAGAUUGGAGAGGAGGACUGGAAAAGGCGACUGCCGAUUGCCCCCGGGUGGGUCAGUCCGGGGUUGCCAUCUACGUGAAGCAGAGGCCAAAGAGGUUUGUUGCCUCCGCCGAGGGGCCUUAAAGGUCCGAACACCCGGCAUCGGCUCAACCUCCAGGAUCCCCCUUUCCUCGGACACGGCUACACACGGAAGGGUCCAACCCUUGUGUGCUCGGCUGCAGGCUGGCACUCUCCUCCAUGGUCCGUUCCAUUUGUGGGCUGUGGCUGCGUUCGCCUGGCGGGGAUGUGUUGCUGCUCUGGACUGACAUUUGCAGAGUGCUGGUUAUGCACUUGUCCCUGCAUAUGUUGCUCGGAACAGUCACCACCAGCAGCAGCAGCAGCUGCAGCAGCCGAGGUCUCUGGAGGAUCCGGCUCCUACAUAUUGAGGAGCAGCCGGGGAUUGUGGUUCUAACGUGUAAAGAAAGGUGGUCUUGGAGCCCGAGCUUCAGUUUUUCGACGUCGUGGCAAGCUUGCCUGGCUCUGUCCAUGACAGUGAAAUUUUUACUAACAGCAGAGUAAGUGUCAUGCAUGAGCUGAAGGCGGUAACUGGCACCCUCCUUGGCGAUCAAUGUUAAGGAUAUUGACCCUGUUUGAUGACCCCACUGAGGAACCCUCGAACAACUGCAGAGAAAAGGUACAACAAGGGUCACAUUGGAAAGAGGCAUUCCAUUGAACGGGCUUUUGGACUCUGGAAGAGGCGUUUUCCAUGCCUCAGGACAAAGCUGGAAACGCUGACAGCGGACGGUUGCAAUUAUCACCGCAUGUGCUGCACUGCACAACAUUGCUUGCACUUUGCGGGAACCCAUCCCUAAUGGCGAUGAACCAGAGCCUGAAGAUGCAGGUGUGAAAUUGUAUGAACCUGACUCACUUCUCGGUACCCAACAUCGAAGGCACCUUGUCCAGCGUUGCUUCACAAGUGCCCAAAGUGAAGAUGACAGCGAUGUGGACACUGCGUAGAGGCACGCGCCGGACGACCAUUGCGGGUUCGAGCACUCCAAGCUGCCAUGUAUACAGCACCGCGUCAGCACCUGCUCCGGCACGCUCCGUGUGCCGACGCGACACUGCGUGCAUACGCGCCCCUCUGGCCCCAGGUAGGGGAAAGUGAGACCGCGCCCGGAGCAAAGGAGACCCUAGGCGUGAUACUCGGGAAAGAAGAAAUAACAUUCAUUAAGCUGGGAUUCGAUACAAACACCAUUCGCCGGUGGCCACUAAUGGCGCACUGCGAUAGAGAACAAAGAACCGAGCACUGAGAAGCUGCUUAUCCUUUGGUCAGCGCCUGUCAUCGCGCGCCCCACAACAAAGAAAAUGGAAAUAGAAAGAAACGACAGACGGGGGCAUGAUCGGAAGACGCUGCCUCAAGGCAUCUAGACGACGGAGAGUGCGCGCACCUGCCGAACAGAAGUAACCAUCGGUCGGUGGCGGACAAAGGAGGCCACCGCUGGCAGAGAGGAACACAUACGCACCUUCAGACGCCCCGAUGUGGUCUCCUCGAGCCUUGUCUAGCGCUUGCGUACCCAGAGCGCACACAGGCAGGGCCCGAAUCCCGCCAAAAUGUCGGCCAAUGGGUGAAGCCCGUUGACCAUCCCGUGGGCGGGAUGGCAGCAGAGCGACAGUGUUUUAUGACCCGCUGUCACCUCUUCCAGGCAAGGGGAAGAGGGACACGGAGCCCCUGGAAAGGCAAUGCAACGACUCCACACAACCACCGCGAGAGCCCGAAACCCCACAUCCCUCCCCCCUUAAAUGCCCCCUACCAAUGCAAGGCUUGGCUCCACUGCCAGCCCAAAAAGAAAACAAUGAACAAAGAAAUAGUCAUUACAAUGCAAUACCGGAGCUAUCCAUUGGCAGCUAGAACUUAAGAUCACCAGCCUCCAGAAAAUAAAUUUAAAAAGAAACAUCACUGGCAGAAAAGCAAGCCAUUAGGAUAAAUCAAAUAGGGAGGUCUGAGGUAAACAACAGCAACAAAAAAAGUGUACACGAACCCACGCUUUAACUUGAACAUGCACAAUAAGAGUAACAAUAAAAGACAAACUCUUAGAGACAUAAAGAUAUUCGGACAAAAACGAACAAGGCAAAUUAAAACGUUGGCCUAUACCAUCAAUCAAAACAGAAUACAAUAAAAUAAAUGGUUCAAAGACGUACAAAGAAUGCCCACGUGAAAAAUCUUCGGGGAGUCCAAACGCCAAGGCCACAUGCCAUGCGUGUGACUUCAAGCCACUUUAACAACGUCCAGCAACGGCCAUGAUCUGCACCAAUCGUCGUGGCUGCACCACCCGAUCCACAGCCCCGCCGUCGCCAGGCCUCCAUCCAGGUCGACAUCGCCCAUUGGCGCAACACGGCAGUGAAAAAACGCACGCGAAACUUUCUGGGAACACAAAACACAUAGAUACGAAGAAAUUAACAUAAAAGCAAAACAAAAUGAACCCAAGGAAACGUACACAAAAUCAAAACGAAGACGGCUAGGUAAAACACAGAGAAACAAGUAGCCUAACGAAGAAACACAAGGACAGAGAAAGACAGAGAACAGCCUGCCUGAUUUCAGCGAAGUGGAUCGCUGAUUGCGUUUUGAAGAGAAAUGGAUGGCUGAUCCAAAGUUGGGGACUCUCAUGGGCAAGCCUCGUCUCAGUAUAAAUGGUUACUCCGUCUGAGUUCAGCUGGACGCAGUAAACAUGGUCUUCACUAGCGCGAUGACAUAGGACUUUGACGCUAGCGGAAAUUCCUUCCAUGGAUGCACACUGUCUAUCCGCGACACCAAUGAAAAUAUAUUUCGACUACACGAUGUCUAUGUAAUAAACAGACGUGGAAGCUUCGGCGAUACACAAGAAGUCGCUCCACACAGGUUCAAGUCGCAGAGAUAAUCAGUUUUAAAGAAAAACUUGGCACUCUGAUGACUGUGCAAUACUUGUCGGAGUGGCGUUAAAUCGCAUUUCUGUGGCGCCGGGGGUUACAACCUUGAACGCAGUUCCCACAUUGCAGUGUUAGCGGGUGGCACGCGAUCUUCAUUGGCCGAGCUCGUUGUGACCCCGCAGAGCGAACCUACCUGGGGCAACAGCGACACACGCUGUAUCCGGCCCGCACGCCCGUUGCAAUACCAGCAAUGUUACGGUGCUCCGCCUCCCUGAGGCCGUUGAACGACUAUGUACAAUUAUUUACAAAACUGGUGACUCUGCGGUCUCGUCGGCGCUCUUCACGCCGUUAAAAAAAUAGAAAAAAGAUGCUUCCGACACCCUAGUGGGGGUGGUUGGUUUCGUUCCCCCGGCUGGCUUUCACCCCGGUUUGUCCUCCCCGUCAUCGUUGCGGGGGAGCGUACCCUUCUGCGCGCGUGACGGUGGGAUGUCCGGGGCGCUUGCUUCUUCGCAGAGCGGGCUCGUUUUGUGGCCUUUGUCUUCGCUCGGCUAUUACACUGCC